rnacentral:tRNA from 1 species
AGUAAGGUAAGUUAAAUAAACUGUCGGGCCCAUACCCCGAACAUGCAAGUGAGAACCCCGCCCUUACUA